AACGAACGCUGGCGGCAGGCUUAACACAUGCAAGUCGAACGGGUGUAGCAAUACAUCAGUGGCAGACGGGUGAGUAACACGUGGGAACCUUCCUAGAGGUACGGAACAACUCAGGGAAACUUGAGCUAAUACCGUAUACGCUCUUGCGAGGAAAGAUUUAUCGCCUUUAGACGGGCCCGCGUCGGAUUAGCUAGUUGGUGGGGUAACGGCCUACCAAGGCGACGAUCCGUAGCUGAUCUGAGAGGAUGAUCAGCCACACUGGGACUGAGACACGGCCCAGACUCCUACGGGAGGCAGCAGUGGGGAAUUUUGGACAAUGGGCGCAAGCCUGAUCCAGCCAUGCCGCGUGAGUGAAGAAGGCCUUCGGGUUGUAAAGCUCUUUUGUCAGGGACGAUAAUGACGGUACCUGAAGAAUAAGCCCCGGCAAACUUCGUGCCAGCAGCCGCGGUAAUAC
rnacentral:rRNA from 1 species